rnacentral:lncRNA from 1 species
GGAUCUAGCAUUGCUGCAGCUGUAGCGUAGGUUGCAAGUGUAGCUCGGAUCGGAUCCCUGGCCCGGGGACCUCUGUGUGCCUUGGGGCAGCCAAAAAAAAAAAAAAGUGAGGUUUGCAAGGAUGCUAAAUGGACAUGGGUGAAUAGAGUGUCAGAGGGUCUCCUAGAGACGUAUUCACAGAUUUCCCGUCAUGGCGUAGUGGUUACUGAAUCCGACUAGGAACCAUGAGGUUGUCACUCGGAUCCCGAGUUGCUGUGGCUCUGGCAUAGACCGGUGGCUACAGCUCCGAUCGGCCCCCUAGCCUGGGAACCUCCAUAUGCCGCGGGAAGCAAAAAAGACUAAAAAUAAAAAAAUAAUAAAAUUAAAAAAAAAAAAAAAAGAGAGAGAGAGAAAUAUUCACGGCCCCAUUGCUGUUCUUCCACUGAUUUAGUCUUUCCAAAAUGCCUCAGUGCCCGCAAGUGGGACUCAUGAAAAUAAAAUAUCACUGAAGAACUUGCUGUUGCUGGAACUUAAUGAACAGGCUUUUGAAACACAGAGCUCGCGGCUGUACACUUCAUAGGAGGGUUCUGGCGCCAAAGAAAAGGACAAACUCCAACUGUACUGGCGAGCAGAGCUCAGCUCUUGGGAAGACAGGGAAGCUGCCUUUUCAGGACCUGGCCAGGGUUCUGAAUAUCCACUUUAAUAACCAAGGAAGCAGGGGGCAGAAUCUGCACUGUGCGAAUUUCAGCACAACUCUUCAUUACUGACAGCCGUUUAUUGUUGUGGGGUUUUUUUUGGUAGCGUCUAUCUCAAAAUACAUAGCAAUAAUAAAAAAUUGGGUAUGGAGUUCCCGUUGUAACUCAGUGGUUACCGAACUCAACUAGUAUCCAUGAGGAUGCACCUUUGAUCCCUGGCCUUGCUCAGUGGGUUGAGGAUCCCGUGUUGCCAUGGCUGUGGUGUAGGCCAGCAGCUCUGUAGCUCCAACUGGACGCCUAGUCUGGGAACCUCCAUAUGCUGUGGAUAUGGCCCUAAAAAGACAAUAAAAAUAAAAAUAAUGAAAAAUUGUGUAUGUAUUAAAUCACUUUACUUAGCAUUUUAGGAAUGUGGGUCCCCCCUCCAUCGCCCAGGAUGUGGAUUGAAGACAGGUUCUCAAAAGCGUAUUUAUUCAUGGUUAGCUUACUUUGGUCCUCUCAUACUCCCGUUGUCAUGCAGCUGCUAAAGGGUAGCUGUCAAAAUUACCCAAACACUUCACCGAAAUGACUUAUUUACGAGAGGAGAAUAAAGACUGAACAGCCAGUCCGAGUGUGUGUUUCUGCCCUGGGAAAAAAUAGAAAGGGUCUGAUUGUACCGGGGGCACCUGCAUGAUUUUGUAAAAGAAACGUGACAUGACAACUCUAAGACGGUACCUAUACAACUUUGCUAUUUGGGAAUAGCUGGCCCACAGUUUAAAGCUCUUCGAAGAACACGUUAAACUUGUUUGGCUCCUGUGUGAUGCAGUGAUCUGCCCAGAAUUACAAUCAGCAUGAAGUUCUUGUUUACCAGCCUUAAUAGAAUUUAGAAGAGAUGGAGGUGGGGGAGGGGUGGGGGUGAAACU